rnacentral:misc_RNA from 1 species
GAUGAAGAACGCAGCGAAAUGCGAUAAGUAGUGUGAAUUGCAGAAUUCAGUGAAUCAUCGAAUCUUUGAACGCACAUUGCGCCCCUUGGUAUUCCAUGGGGCAUGCCUGUUCGAGCGUCAUUUGUACCUUCAAGCUCUGCUUGGUGUUGGGUGUUUGUCUCGCCUCUGCGUGUAGACUCGCCUCAAAACAAUUGGCAGCCGGCGUAUUGAUUUCGGAGCGCAGUACAUCUCGCGCUUUGCACUCAUAACGACGACGUCCAAAAGUACAUUUUUACACUCUUGACCUCGGAUCAAGUAGGGAUACCCGCUGAACUUAAGCAUAUCAAUAAGCGGAGGA